GCUGUGAAGACAGACGUGGUUAGCACAAACCACUCGGGCCACUGAAACCAGGGCAAACUCAUGGAUCAUCUGCGCUCCCAUCUCCACGUUGGUGGCAGCCCCACCUCUCAGAUUUUAAGCUCUAUGGAAAGUGCAGGCUUCCAGGAGUGCUGUGGAGCAGAGCAGAGAGGGUUCCCCACCUUGUUUCUUAUGGGUGAGGCUCACACAUCUGAGUUCGUGAGGCCGGGAGUCGCCCAAGAAGACUGUCCUCCCUGACCUCUUUAAGCAGGUGGGAAUGAACUACAUUCUGCAGAUGCUGUUCAAAAAGAUCUUCAGUUCCACUAAAUUCCAAUUCCAUCUGUACCUCUUGCUCCAGCAGAGGAAGAAUGUGACGCCCUAAGCCAGGUUGAUCAAUUUAUGUGCUGUAACACAUGGCAUCUUCAAACAAAAGAACUUUUCCGCAGAGGACACCUUUGGAAUCUGCACCAGAAUUUUAAAUCUGACUCCCUUGUUCUAGUUCUAAAUGAGAAUGUGCACACGCCUGUGUGAUACAGGUCUGUAUCCCGUCUUGGCCCCUUUGCCUCUUCUUUACUGUGUUGUCUCUGAAAAAAAA